GCGGCAGGCCUAACACAUGCAAGUCGAACGGUAGCACAGAGGAGCUUGCUCCUCGGGUGACGAGUGGCGAACGGGUGAGUAACGCGUAGACAACCUGCCUUUUAGAUGGGGACAACACUGGGAAACUAGUGCUAAUACCGAAUGUUGUAUUUUGGUCGCAUGGCUAAGAUACUAAAGAUGGCCUCUAUUUAUAAGCUAUCACUAAAAGAUGGGUCUGCGUCUGAUUAGCUAGUUGGUGAGGUAAUGGCUCACCAAGGCGACGAUCAGUAGCCGGGCUGAGAGGAUGAGCGGCCACACUGGGACUGAGACACGGCCCAGACUCCGACGGGAGGCAGCAGUGGGGAAUCUUCCGCAAUGGACGAAAGUCUGACGGAGCAACGCCGCGUGAGUGAAGAAGGUUUUCGGAUCGUAAAACUCUGUUUUCAGGGACGAAUGUGCAGCUUGUGAAUAAUUAGUUGUAAUGACGGUACCUGAGUAGAAAGCCACGGCUAACUACGUGCCAGCCGCCGCGGUAA
rnacentral:rRNA from 1 species